AUGUUGAGAAUGCUUCAUCUGUUGUUAUGUGGGUGAUGUUGAUGGGAUUUCAGCAUUCUGGUUGACCUUAGCCAUUCUUAUUGUAAUUUUGUUUUGAGGUGCGCUUUUUACAUUCAGUUUUCACCAAAGGAAAAUUGGUUGUGCAGUCUUGGCAAAUUACGCUAAGGGGAAACUAUCUGAGGCUGGUUUCAUCUGAAACAUGCUUUAGAGCAUCUUGAAUUCUGUAGACUGUGACAAUGUAUAGUUGAGACUACCAAGAACUUCCCAGGUUAGACUCGUGAUUUGCAAGCGAUUUGAAUAAUGAUCCAGAAGAUCUAAGUGUCUCUAGGGUAUAAACACUGAAAUAGUAUAAAAUUAUUGCUAUAAGUGUGAGGACAAAAGGUAUGUAUAAAAGGAAAAUAAAGUGGCUGAUUUUGGUGGCAGAACAACAGAUAAACAGGCACAUAAGCCUUUUAUUUGAAAUAGAACAGAAGCUGCAAACUUGAAGUUUCAAGAUAAACUCAUACAGCCUGUCAAUGGGAAUAGUACAGUAAAGAAUUAAGGAAAAAAAGAUCUCUUGUAAGAGCUCUAACUGUCUCUGUAGUGCCUGUUCUGUGAUAAAGGAUUUUCUUUUCUCUGUGUGGUCCCAUUUGAUAACAAUGCUAGGAGUGCCUGGCUGCAUUCCAUAUAUAAUUAAUUGGAGCUUUGGUUUCAGACUGCAGCCGGGCCAGGCUGCCUCAACCCCUUGCACUUGUUCACAUCUUUAGAUAGCUUUCCACCAUGCCAGCUGGUGAGUGAAUGGAGCCUUUCACAGCAAGCCUAGUAGGCAUGAAUGGUUGAGUCAUUGUCCUCCUUGGCUCUCUAGUUAACCUAGUGCCAAACAAGGUUGGAGCUGCUGCAGUUGACAUCCUUUUUAUUGCCAGUGUUUUCAGUGUAAACACUGUGUGUAAAGGGAUUUCAUCUUUUUGCCAGCUCAUUUCUGUUUCUUGAUGGUUUUGGAAGGAAAGUAUUCUUUAUGAAGAGAUACUGGUAAAAGCUGAUGUAUGUUAUGUUCAUUUGUUUAUUUUUAGUUUCCAGCAAAGCAGACUGUUGAAUGCCUCAGGUUGUGUGUGCAGGCUCCAAGUUUUACAA